CUACCCUCAUCUAUCAAUGUCUCAGGGGAGUAUUGGCCCAACUCUAGGAACUUACGAGCAUAUUCCGAUACCAUCAUGUUUUCCUGGACCAGCUAGACAAACUCCAUCUCCUUUAGAUGUCGGAUGAGCUCAAGGAGGUACUCCGCAUGAAAGGUUGCUAAGAACUGCUCCCAAGUGACUAGUGUAGGCAGGGUGGCCUGCUUGAGCUCCCACCAACAACCUGCUUCCCCUACCAACAUGUAGGAAGCAAGGGUAACCCUCUGCUCGGGAACCACUCCUAAUGUCUUGAAAGCCUUCUCUGUCUCCACCAACCAGUACUAGGCAUCUUCGAAAGAGGACUCCCCUUCAAAAGUUGAAGGGUUCAGUCUCCUGUACCUCUCUACGUAGCCCGGGUCAAUUAGGGAAGGAGCUGGGUCCCGUGGAAGAGGGACUGGGCUUGGCGAAGGAUAGACUGGGGGGCCCUGUGGUGGCACCUGCUGAUAUAAUGGGGGCACUGGAUUAUACUGCGGCGAUGGUGCCGGGGGGACUGUGGAGGAGCAAGCUCGUGCCAGGGUGGCUCGGGAUCCGC
rnacentral:lncRNA from 1 species